rnacentral:misc_RNA from 1 species
AAAAAAUCGUUAAUAGCCCGGUAAAUUGCGUUAAUAUUAGCCCUGAAAAAAUUGAAACGAGCCCCCCAACGGCAACGCAAGUAAACAAAAAUCCAGUAAAUUUAAUUGAAUAGAAUCAUCCUAGAAACACAAGAAACUAACUACUUCAUUUUUAAUUGUAGAAAGGGGAGUAGUUACGCUUUUGAGAGUGUUUCUGAGAUG